rnacentral:rRNA from 1 species
UACGUAGGGGGCAAGCGUUGUCCGGAUUUAUUGGGCGUAAAGAGCGUGUAGGCGGCCAGGUAGGUCAGCUGUGAAAACUCGAGGCUCAACCUCGAGACGCCGGUUGAAACCAUCUGGCUAGAGUCCGGAAGAGGAGAGUGGAAUUCCUGGUGUAGCGGUGAAAUGCGCAGAUAUCAGGAGGAACACCAAUGGCGAAGGCAGCUCGCUGGGACGGUACUGACGCUGAGGAGCGAAAGCGUGGGGAGCGAACAGG